UGGGAACGUGCCUUUUGGUUCGGAACAACCCAGGGAAACUUGGGCUAAUACCGGAUAAGCCCUUACGGGGAAAGAUUUAUCGCCAAAAGAUCGGCCCGCGUCUGAUUAGCUAGUUGGUGAGGUAACGGCUCACCAAGGCGACGAUCAGUAGCUGGUCUGAGAGGAUGAUCAGCCACACUGGGACUGAGACACGGCCCAGACUCCUACGGGAGGCAG
rnacentral:rRNA from 1 species